GACGUAGGGCGCGAGCGUUGUCCGGAUUUAUUGGGCGUAAAGAGCUCGUAGGCGGCUUGUCGCGUCGUCCGUGAAAACCUGCAGCUCAACUGCAGGCUUGCGGUCGAUACGGGCAGGCUGGAGUUCGGUAGGGGAGACUGGAAUUCCUGGUGUAGCGGUGAAAUGCGCAGAUAUCAGGAGGAACACCGGUGGCGAAGGCGGGUCUCUGGGCCACUACUGACGCUGAGAAGCGAAAGCAUGGGGAGCGAACAGG
rnacentral:rRNA from 1 species